rnacentral:sRNA from 1 species
CAAGAGGAAACCAGAUAUUGUGACCCCCAAUGGGCUGAAUGUGAAGAAGUUUUCUGCCAUGCAUGAGUUCCAGAACCUCCAUGCUCAGAGCAAGGCUCGAAUCCAGGAGUUUGUGCGGGGCCAUUUUUAUGGGCAUCUGGACUUCAACUUGGACAAGACCUUGUACUUCUUUAUCGCCGGCCGCUAUGAGUUCUCCAACAAGGGUGCCGACGUCUUCCUGGAGGCCUUGGCUCGGCUCAACUAUCUGCUCAGAGUGAACGGCAGCGAGCAGACAGUGGUUGCCUUCUUCAUCAUGCCAGCGCGGACCAACAAUUUCAACGUGGAAACCCUCAAAGGCCAAGCCGUGCGCAAACAGCUUUGGUCAGCAGCCCUCGCUCCGGCCCCUGGCCCAGCCCACUCCCAGCUGCAUGCUUUGGGUCCCGUGUUUCUCCUAGAGUCUCAGUCUUUU